rnacentral:rRNA from 1 species
UACGAAGGGGGCUAGCGUUGUUCGGAUUUACUGGGCGUAAAGCGCACGUAGGCGGAUUGUUAAGUCAGGGGUGAAAUCCCGGAGCUCAACUCCGGAACUGCCUUUGAUACUGGCAAUCUAGAGUCCGGAAGAGGUGAGUGGAACUCCUAGUGUAGAGGUGGAAUUCGUAGAUAUUAGGGAAGAACACCAGUGGCGAAGGCGGCUCACUGGUCCGGUACUGACGCUGAGGUGCGAAAGCGUGGGGAGCAAACAGGG